rnacentral:rRNA from 1 species
UACAGAGGUCCCAAGCGUUGUUCGGAUUCACUGGGCGUAAAGGGUGCGCAGGUGGGUUUGCAAGUUUGAUGUGAAAGCCCCGGGCUUAACCCGGGAAUGGCAUUGAAUACUGCAGAUCUGGAGGAUUGGAGGGGGGACUGGAAUUCUUGGUGUAACAGUGAAAUGCGUAGAUAUCAGGAGGAACACCCGUGGCGAAGGCGGCCCUCUGGCUCGACCCUGACGCUGAGGCGCGAAAGCGUGGGGAGCGAACGGG